rnacentral:rRNA from 1 species
GUGUCAGCAGCCGCGGUAAUACGGAGGGUGCAAGCGUUAUCCGGAAUCACUGGGUAUAAAGGGUGCGUAGGCGGCUUGCUAAGUCAGGAGUGAAAGGCCACGGCUUAACCGUGGGAUUGCUUUUGAUACUGGCGAGCUUGGAUUAGGACGAGGUUGGCGGAAUGUGGCAAGUAGCGGUGAAAUGCAUAGAUAUGCCAUAGAAUACCGAUUGCGAAGGCAGCUGACUAGACCUAUAUUGACGCUGAGGCACGAAAGCGUGGGGAGCGAACAGGAUUAGAAACCCCAGUAGUCC